GGUGCGAGCGUUAAUCGGAAUUACUGGGCGUAAAGCGCGCGUAGGUGGCUUGAUAAGCCGGUUGUGAAAGCCCUGGGCUCAACCUGGGAACGGCAUCCGGAACUGUCAGGCUAGAGUGCAGGAGAGGAAGGUAGAAUUCCCGGUGUAGCGGUGAAAUGCGUAGAGAUCGGGAGGAAUACCAGUGGCGAAGGCGGCCUUCUGGACUGACACUGACACUGAGGUGCGAAAGCGUGGGUAGCAAACAGGAUUAGAUACCCUGGUAGUCCACGCCGUAAACGAUGUCGACUAGCCGUUGGGUCCCUCGCGGACUUUGUGGCGCAGUUAACGCGAUAAGUCGACCGCCUGGGGAGUACGGCCGCAAGGUUAAAACUCAAAUGAAUUGACGGGGGCCCGCACAAGCGGUGGAGCAUGUGGUUUAAUUCGAUGCAACGCGAAGAACCUUACCUACCCUUGACAUCCUGCGAACUUGGUAGAGAUACCUUGGUGCCUUCGGGAGCGCAGAGACAGGUGCUGCAUGGCUGUCGUCAGCUCGUGUUGUAAAUGUGGUAAGUCCGUAACGAGCGCAACCCUUGUCCUUAUUUGCCAGCGAGUAAUGUCGGGAACUCUAAGGAGACUGCCGGUGACAAACCGGAGGAAGGUGGGGACGACGUCAAGUCAUCAUGGCCCUUACGGGUAGGGCUACACACGUGCUACAAUGGUCAGUACAAAGGGUUGCCAACUCGCGAGAGUGCGCUAAUCCCAUAAAGCUGAUCUCAGUCCGGAUCGGAGUCUGCAACUCGACUCCGUGAAGUCGGAAUCGCUAGUAAUCGUGAAUCAGAAUGUCACGGUGAAUACGUUCCCGGGCCUUGUACACACCGCCCGUCACACCAUGGGAGUGGACUGCACCAGAAGUGGUUAGCCUAACCUUCGGGAGGGCGAUCACCACGGUGUGGUUCAUGACUGGGGUGAAGUCGUAACAAGGUAGCCGUAGGGGAACCUG
rnacentral:rRNA from 1 species